AGUUACAUCAAAGAGCAGAGUCAAAAACAGUUUCAGAUGAUAAUUAUUUCCUUAAAAGAAGAGUUCUAUUCCAAAGCUGACACAGUAAUAAGCAUCUGUCCAGAGUAUGAGGACUGCAUGUUCAGCCGAGUUUUGACCCUAGAUCUUUCUCAGGAUCCAGACACUGAAGACCAAGAGACCAGCAAGAGACAUGGAGAGUCCCAUGAGAAACUAGAGUGCCCUUGAGCACCUGCCACCUGGAAGAGCAAACAGGACAGUCCUAUAGUGGUCACGUUAAUCAUUGUCUAGUUCCCACUGUAAUACUCAAACAGCUCUUGAAUAACAAACUUCUGGAGCAAGCAGGACCAACCUGGUGUGUCGUUUAAGGAAAAAUCUUAGUUGUUCUAGCUAGAGGCUGUGAGCUCACUUCAUUUAAGGAGUGUUCAGGCCCCACUGUAGAAGUUUUCUAUGAGAGUUAACAUGGGACAAGUUUAAAUUAAAAAAAAAAAAAUGAAAAGAAAAAGAAGACUUUUGUACCAUAAUUUUAACUUGUAUUUUGGAAACAAGCUGGUCAGAUGAAUUUUGAAUCUGUAUCAUCUUCAGUCUGUUCUGGCUUUGCACCUGUAGGUAAUCUUUAAGGGAAUUUCUUUGUUUUUAAAUGUACUAGUUAUAGGGCAGUUAAUAAAUUGUUGAACAUGGAUUUCAUGGGAAACUGUUUCAGAGGAACUAUAUGUCAAUAUUGAAAACAUCAAUAAAAAAAUAUAUUCUAAUUUAAAA